rnacentral:rRNA from 1 species
UUAACGGAGAGUUUGAUCCUGGCUCAGGACGAACGCUGGCGGCGUGCUUAACACAUGCAAGUCGAACGAUGAAAGAGGAGCUUGCUCCUCUGGAUUAGUGGCGAACGGGUGAGUAACACGUGAGCAAUCUGCCCCUGACUCCGGAAUAACUACGGGAAACUGUAGCUAAUACCGGAUAUGCGCCGAACAGGCAUCUGUAUCGGUGGGAAAGAAUUUCGGUCAGGGAUGAGCUCGCGGCCUAUCAGCUUGUUGGUGAGGUAACGGCUCACCAAGGCGACGACGGGUAGCCGGCCUGAGAGGGUGACCGGCCACACUGGGACUGAGACACGGCCCAGACUCCUACGGGAGGCAGCAGUGGGGAAUAU